rnacentral:rRNA from 1 species
AUGAACGCUAGCUACAGGCUUAACACAUGCAAGUCGAGGGGCAGCAUGGUCUUAGCUUGCUAAGGCCGAUGGCGACCGGCGCACGGGUGAGUAACACGUAUCCAACCUGCCGUCUACUCUUGGACAGCCUUCUGAAAGGAAGAUUAAUACAAGAUGGCAUCAUGAGUCCGCAUGUUCACAUGAUUAAAGGUAUUCCGGUAGACGAUGGGGAUGCGUUCCAUUAGAUAGUAGGCGGGGUAACGGCCCACCUAGUCUUCGAUGGAUAGGGGUUCUGAGAGGAAGGUCCCCCACAUUGGAACUGAGACACGGUCCAAACUCCUACGGGAGGCAGCAGUGAGGAAUAUUGGUCAAUGGGCGAGAGCCUGAACCAGCCAAGUAGCGUGAAGGAUGACUGCCCUAUGGGUUGUAAACUUCUUUUAUAAAGGAAUAAAGUCGGGUAUGGAUACCCGUUUGCAUGUACUUUAUGAAUAAGGAUCGGCUAACUCCGUGCCAGCAGCCGCGGUAAUACGGAGGAUCCGAGCGUUAUCCGGAUUUAUUGGGUUUAAAGGGAGCGUAGAUGGAUGUUUAAGUCAGUUGUGAAAGUUUGCGGCUCAACCGUAAAAUUGCAGUUGAUACUGGAUAUCUUGAGUGCAGUUGAGGCAGGCGGAAUUCGUGGUGUAGCGGUGAAAUGCUUAGAUAUCACGAAGAACUCCGAUUGCGAAGGCAGCCUGCUAAGCUGCAACUGACAUUGAGGCUCGAAAGUGUGGGUAUCAAACAGGAUUAGAUACCCUGGUAGUCCACACGGUAAACGAUGAAUACUCGCUGUUAGCGAUAUACUGCAAGCGGCCAAGCGAAAGCGUUAAGUAUUCCACCUGGGGAGUACGCCGGCAACGGUGAAACUCAAAGGAAUUGACGGGGGCCCGCACAAGCGGAGGAACAUGUGGUUUAAUUCGAUGAUACGCGAGGAACCUUACCCGGGCUUAAAUUGCAGAUGAAUUACGGUGAAAGCCGUAAGCCGCAAGGCAUCUGUGAAGGUGCUGCAUGGUUGUCGUCAGCUCGUGCCGUGAGGUGUCGGCUUAAGUGCCAUAACGAGCGCAACCCUUGUUGUCAGUUACUAACAGGUUCCGCUGAGGACUCUGACAAGACUGCCAUCGUAAGAUGUGAGGAAGGUGGGGAUGACGUCAAAUCAGCACGGCCCUUACGUCCGGGGCUACACACGUGUUACAAUGGGGGGUACAGAGGGCCGCUACCACGCGAGUGGAUGCCAAUCCCCAAAACCUCUCUCAGUUCGGACUGGAGUCUGCAACCCGACUCCACGAAGCUGGAUUCGCUAGUAAUCGCGCAUCAGCCACGGCGCGGUGAAUACGUUCCCGGGCCUUGUACACACCGCCCGUCAAGCCAUGGGAGCCGGGGGUACCUGAAGUGCGUAACCGCGAGGAGCGCCCUAGGGUAAAACUGGUGACUGGGGCU